rnacentral:rRNA from 1 species
CGCUUUUGUGGGGUGCUCGAGUGGCGAACGGGUGAGUAACACGUGAGUAACCUGCCCUUGACUUUGGGGUAACUUCAGGAAACUGGGGCUAAUACCGGAUAGGAGCUCCUGCUGCAUGGUGGGGGUUGGAAAGUUUCGGCGGUUGGGGAUGGACUCGCGGCUUAUCAGCUUGUUGGUGGGGUAGUGGCUUACCAAGGCUUUGACGGGUAGCCGGCCUGAGAGGGUGACCGGCCACAUUGGGACUGAGAUACGGCCCAG